rnacentral:rRNA from 1 species
GAUGAACGCUGGCGGCAGGCUCAAUACAUGCAAGUCGUGGGGCAGCAUGAAGUAGCAAUACUUUGAUGGCGACCGGCAAACGGGUGCGGAACACGUACACAACCUUCCUUUUAGUGGGGAAUAGCCCAGAGAAAUUUGGAUUAAUACCCCGUAACAUAGCGAUGUGGCAUCACAUUGCUAUUAUAGCUUCGGCGCUAGAUGAUGGGUGUGCGUAUGAUUAGAUAGUUGGCGAGGUAACGGCUCACCAAGUCUACGAUCAUUAGCUGAUGUGAGGGCAUGAUCAGGCACACGGGCACUGAGACACGAGCCCGACUCCUACGGGAGGCAGCAGUAAGGAAUAUUGGUCAAUGGACGAAAGUCUGAACCAGCCAUGCCGCGUGAAGGAUUAAGGUCCUCUGGAGUGUAAACUGCUUUUAUAUGGGACGAAAAAAGGUCUUUCUAGAUCACUUGACGGUACCAUAUGAAUAAGCACCGGCUAACUCCGUGCCAGCCGCCGCAGUAACAC